rnacentral:tRNA from 1 species
GCCUAGGGAGCUCAGUUGGUUAAGCGUCCAACUUCAGCUCAGGUCAUGAUCUCAUGGUUUGUGGGUUCGAGUCCCACUUUGGGUU